UACGAAGGGUGCAAGCGUUGCUCGGAAUUAUUGGGCGUAAAGGGUAGGUAGGUGGUCGUAAAAGUCUAGGGUGAAAUCCCUGAGCUCAACUCAGGACGUGCCUUGGAAACUUUAUGACUAGAGUACUAGAGAGGUUCGUGGAAUUCCUGGUGUAGCGGUGAAAUGCGUAGAGAUCAGGAGGAACAUCAGCGGCGAAGGCGGCGAACUGGAUAGUAACUGACACUCAACUACGAAAGCGUGGGGAGCAAACAGG
rnacentral:rRNA from 1 species